rnacentral:rRNA from 1 species
UACGGAAGGCAGCAGUGGGGAAUAUUGCACAAUGGGCGCAAGCCUGAUGCAGCCAUGCCGCGUGUAUGAAGAAGGCCUUCGGGUUGUAAAGUACUUUCAGUCGUGAGGAAGGUGUUAAGGUUAAUAACCUUAGCAAUUGACGUUAGCGACAGAAGAAGCACCGGCUAACUCCGUGCCAGCAGCCGCGGUAAUACGGAGGGUGCGAGCGUUAAUCGGAAUUACUGGGCGUAAAGGGCACGCAGGCGGUUAAUUAAGUUGGAUGUGAAAUCCCCGGGCUUAACCUGGGAAUGGCAUUCAAGACUGGUUAGCUAGAGUCUUGUAGAGGGGGUAGAAUUCCAUGUGUAGCGGUGAAAUGCGUAGAGAUGUGGAGGAAUACCGGUGGCGAAGGCGGCCCCUGGGACAAAGACUGACGCUCAUGUGCGAAAGCGUGGGGAGCGAAACAGGA